AACCAGGAUUAGAUACCCUAUUAUAAUUGGUUAGAACUUCUUGAUCAUUAAUAGAUAUAAUCUUUAAAAUCAAAGAAUUUGGCGGUAUUUUAGUCUUUUUAGAGGAACCUGUUUAAUAAUCGAUAAACCCCGAAUAAUUUUACUUAUUUAAACCAAUUUGUAUACCGUCAUUAUUAGAUAACUUUUACAGGAUUUUAGAUGUUGAAAUUUUUAUGAAAAGUAUAUUAGAUCAAGGUGCAGUUAAUAAAUAAGAAUAAAUGGGUUACAAUAAAAUUUUUUAAAAAUUUACGGAACUUAGCUGUGAAGCAAGCUAGUGAAGGAGGAUUUAAUUGUACUCUUUUUUUAAUAAGAAAAGUUGAUAAUUAGCUCUAAAAUAUGUACAUAUCGCCCGUCGCUAUAAUCGAUACACCACGCAGUAUCUUACUUAUUUUCUAAGCUUGUAUACCAUCAUUAUUAGAUAACUUAUAGAUAAAUAGUUAUUACAAUUAUAAGCUAAAUAUAUUAGAUCAAGGUGCAGCCGAUAAAUAAGAAAAAAUGUGUUACAAUAAUGCUCAUUAUACGAAAUAUUAUAUAAAAUUAUAAUAUAAAGGCGGAUUUAAUUGUAGGUAUUAUUUAAUAUAUUAUAUCGACAUUGGCACUAAAACAUGUACAUAUCGCCCGUCGCUAACU
rnacentral:rRNA from 1 species